rnacentral:lncRNA from 1 species
UUUUCUUCUUCUCGUUUCUUGAACUCUCUAGAAACUAUGUCUUUCUGAUUUCCUUCUCCUUCGUCUUUUUCAUGAUUCCCUUGAAGUCUUCUAUGAUUUUGGGGUUAGUCUUCUGUGUGAAAGGUGGAUCUAAAUGAAUCUUGGUAAGGAAAAAGCGUUGGUAUCUAAUUUGUGGGUUCUCUAGUCCGUCGAAGCAACUGCGUUUUGGUUCCUUUGUGGCUUGGGGGGUUUUUGGAGCUUUACAUUCAUACAGAAGGGUACAAUGUAUUCUAAGCCCAAAAAUCGAUGAAAUCG